CAGAGAUUGUGCUUUCACAUAUUGCAGUAAAGUUCUUCAGGAAAACAACCCUGAGAAUGCCCACAGCAGCCAAACUGAGAGCUGUUUCACGGUCCCAUUGUGCUUCUUGGUGUUGUCUGUCAGCAGUUCCCACCACGGAGGCAGGAGAAUGGGGUACACCUGCCUCUGGGCACUGCUGCAAGGAAGUGACUUGAGCUUUCAACUGUUCUUCGUGGCUGAGACCUGCCAGCACGGCCUCUGCAUGGAAAUUCUCCUGGGAAGAGGCCCAAAAGUUUGAAAAGAUGGAUUUGGAUUCACCAGGGAUUGUUCUCAAGGAAGAAUGAAAAAGGGAGGUGAAAAGAAAGGAAAAUAAAAGAAAUGACAGGUCAAAAGAAAAAGAAAGAAGUCCUACAGCAAGUGAUUGAAGGAAAGGCCUCAGCCAAGCUUUGCCAGCCCAGAAUGGCUUGGUCUGACAGCAUUCCCUGCACCCGUGCCUCAGUCUGCCUUGCCAGCCCAAGUCCAGCCUCAGCUUGGAUCUGUCCGUGCUAGUGAAGGGGAAGAAAAAAGCAAAGACAUGCAUGAGAAAUUUCCUCUUUCAUGGAAAAUCACAGCAGAUGCUGGUACUUUGCUUCCCGCACUGUGAUAGUGCCCAGACAAUUUGCGUGACCACUCUGAGGUUAGUCUUAAAAAGCAAAGAAAAAUCUGAAGCAAACUUAGUUGCAGUUGUGCUGGCAAAAAUCACUCAGCUCUUCAGUAAUCUGAAAUCUGCUCCCAUUCAUGGAGUUAAACAUUCCCUCAUAGCAUGGCUCCCAGCAGGGGGACAGUAAAAGGAAUUGAAUAACAGUUCAAAAAUGAUAUAUUUUGGAACCCCACCAUCAUCUCACGGUACUUAAAACUAUCAAAGAAUUCCCAGGGAUUGCUUUGCCAGUGCCUGACAGGGAACAAGCAUCCAAGCAGUGAUUAUUUCUGGUGGGGAAAGAUUUCCAUUCUUUCAGUACAAAAGGCCUCACCUUGGAUUCCUGUGUAGUUUUCUUCAAAAUAGCUGAUGGGAGCUUUUGAUGCCCAGAAGGCGUGAGAUCUGGCACAUAUCAGACGUGAUUUGUUGCAGAAGUGCUACCACACUUAAAGUCUCAGAUCUCAGUGUGGCUGUGUGGUAAAUCCUCAUCUUGUAUGUCUGCACUGGAGUCUGUAGGGUGCCAAGAAGGAAUGUUCUGAGUUUCUCAGGGACUGAUCCCUCACUGAUUUGGGGUGCAGGGGAGGAGGAAUAGGAAAAGAAAGAAAAUAAGUUCUUUGGGGUGCUGGAAGUGCACAGCCAGCACUUAACUAAACUGCAACAACACACUUGGGCAGGAAGCAUCUCUGCAGAUACAAGCUAAAGUGUGAGCUACAGAGCAGCUGCUGCCACGGA